rnacentral:lncRNA from 1 species
CUCCACCAGAGAUUAUCUCUCAAUUUCGAGAUGACGCCACAUGUCACCUUACAUAGUAAACCGAUCCUAUAUCGUCACCUCUAUAAAUAACUAAGUCAUUCAUGGAACUGGUAAUUAAUUAUGAACAAGCUAUUUAGUUUCUCUUAAAUAUCUUUCCGAUUUAAGCAUUUGACAUCCAUUAGCAAACACCAUAUCAAUGUAAUUCAAUUGAUUCUUCAACUCUUCACACAUAGAUCUAAACGAGUAAUCACACAGAAACAGAAACUAAAAAGAAAAAACCCUCGUAAAGAGUUUUCUAGAAAUAAUUAAACAUAAUAAAAGUAAAAAGACAAAAUAGUUGUACCACUCCAUUUCUUCCCAACAUGCUGGAGAGAGAGCUACAUCAUCGACUUGGCUAAACCCAUUAAUUGUAUCGUAUAGUUUAAAACCAAACCAGAUAUAAUACUUUAGCGUGAGACCUAUUGGAUUAGGGGUAUAAUUAUGUUUCCUAGUUGGGUUAGAACUCCUUUGAUAUUACAUCUGUUAAGUCGUAUCAUAUAUAUAUGGCCUCCUAGAAGGAGAAGAAUAAAUCAGUCUUAAAUCCUAAAAUAAGUUUUAACUUGGCAUUAGAGUCGGGUUAUUCGGCAUAGUAUCGUUCUCCAGAUAUUCUAACCAAACUCCUAGCAUCUGUGUUAUGUCCCGAGACAAGGGACUUACGCGGGCAAAAUCCAGCAACCAAAUGCAACCUUGCUGCCGACUUAGAGUUCUUGUUGGCCGGAAAAUAGCAAUUUGCAAUACAACUAAAGUGUGAUCUCGAAACAAGAGAAUCACACUUGAACUUAAAUUUAGAAACUUAAAUCGUACAACCACACAACCGCUGCCUUCAAUAGUUGAAAGCCAUGCCAUGAUUCGUA